rnacentral:misc_RNA from 1 species
GAACGCACAUUGCGCCCUCUGGUAUUCCGGAGGGCAUGCCUGUUCGAGCGUCAUUUCAACCCUCAAGCCUGGCUUGGUGAUGGGGCACUGCCUGUGAAAGGGCAGGCCCUGAAAUCUAGUGGCGAGCUCGCCAGGACCCCGAGCGUAGUAGUUAUAUCUCGCUCUGGAAGGCCCUGGCGGUGCCCUGCCGUUAAACCCCCAACUUCUGAAAAUUUGACCUCGGAUCAGGUAGGAAUACCCGCUGAACUUAAG